CCUACGGGUGGCAGCAGUGAGGCAUAUUGGUCAAUGGUCGGGAGACUGAACCAGCCAAGCCGCGUGAGGGAUCAAUGUACAGAGUAUCGUAAACCUCUUUUGUCAAGGAAUAAAACCUGGCACGUGUCCCUUUUUGCAUGUACUUUAUGAAUAAGCAUCGGCUAACUCCUUGCCAGCAGCCGCGGUAAUACGGAGGAUCCGAGCGUUGUCCGGAUUUAUUGGGUUUAAAGGGUGCGGAGGGGGGUUUGUAAGUCAGGUGUCAAAGUUGCGGGCUCAACCGUCACAUUGCAAUUGAUACUGGCAGUCUUGAGUAGAGGAGAGGUAGGCGGAAUGCGUGGGGUAGCGGUGAAAUGCAUAGAUAUCACGAAGAACCCCGAUUGCGAAGGCAGCAUACUAACU
rnacentral:rRNA from 1 species